AUCCAGGGAUGGGAAUCGAACCCACAGUGUUCCGCUUACCGGGCAGAUGCCAUGUCCACUAGGCUACCCUGGA